rnacentral:lncRNA from 1 species
AGGCUGAGACAAGAGAAUUGCUUGAACCCGGGUGGCAGAGGUUGCAGUGAGCCGAGAUCACACCAUUGCACUCCAGUCUGGGUGACAGAGCAAGACUUUGUCUCAAAAAAAAAAAGACACUGGGGCCAGACAGCCCAUGCCAAUCACUGUCUUUCCCUUCGACUGAAGACGCAGGCACACUGCUUCCAUGGAGGUGAACAAGAACAGGCCACUUUCUGCACAUUCUGCAGGACUGAAAAAGCACACCAGGGUGUUUGUUUGUUUAUUUGUUUGUUUUGUUUUGUUUUGAGGUGGAGCCUGGCUCUGUCGACCAGGCUGGAGUGCAGUGGCGUGACCUUGGCUCACUGCAAGCUUCGCCUCCCAGGUUCACGCCAUUCUCCUGUCUCAGCCUCCUGAGUAGCUGGGACUACAGGCGCCCGCCACCAUGCCUGGCUAAUUUUUGUAUUUUUAGUAGAGAUGGGGUUUCACCAUAUUGACCAGGCUGGUUUCGAACUCCUGACGUUGUGAUCUGCCCACCUCAGCCUCCCAAAGUGCUGGGAUUGCAGGAGUGAGCCGCCGCACCCAGCUGAGUGGUUUGUUCUUUGUGGGGAGGUGUACAGGGGCUUGGAGAGAGCACUGAAAUCAGAGAUUUCUUGCUGGGUUCAGAGCUCAUCAGUUUGAGAUUUAACCAAUGAGCAGGCACCGAUAAAGUAAAAUGCAAGAAUGAAAACAAAAGUUAGAAAUGGCAUUUGCAAAGUCCUGGGUAACUUUUGGUGCUUGUAUGUUGCUUGGGCCUGUCUGUAGUGGUGGGUUUAUGAUGUCCAUAAAUGUGCUAUCUGAGCAAUUUAAUUUGUGGGUGCUUUAUGAAAAAGCAGCAGAGAGACUUCUAAAGCAGAUGAUGUGACUAGCAUUCAAAGGACCUGCAGGGUUUCCUCUGGAGCAGACCCUGUCACCUUUCUUGGUGAGCAUCUUGUCAGAUCUGUCCACACUCUGUGCCCUGUACAGCGCUGACGGCAGAAGAGGCUGUGAUAAGCAGGUGAUGAACAAAUGAAUGAGCAAGGAUAUGCUUACUGUUCUCACUUUAAUGAUGAGGAGAUCUCAUCAAGAAGAUAUUCAGCAGCUUGCACCAGGGAUGUGGGUACUUAACUUGGAAACCUGGACUUGCAUCGGCCCACAUGCCCUCUGGCCUGGCCUUUUCCACUUCCUUGUCUUGUGAGCUGGUGAGGACUAAUUUUUGCUUGUGCUUUCAUAGGACCAAAUGGGAGAAAUUCCGUUAAAGCAACAUAAAGAACUUAUUCGCCAUCCAGGCAGCAUGCAGCAAGGGCAAAUUCUGGAAUCCCUCCCCCAGGAAAGAUGUUUUUAAAGAAAGAACAGCUCAGUCAUCCGUUCUAGACAGUAUUACCCCAUCACUUAGCAUUUGUAUGGCUUUAAGCUCUUCACGGAGCAUUUUCAUCUGUAGGACUUCAUUUGAUUUGCAUAGCAACUCUGUAGCUAUAGGUAUUGUUGCAUUUUCUGGUAAGAAAACCGAGAUGCAGAGCAGCUGUGUUCUCUCCAGGAUCACACAGCUAGCGAGAGGCAGAGCCAGUAUUUCCCAUAAGCAGUCAACACUGAAGAUUAAGGCUGGGUCCCCAAGACUGUACGACCUGGGGAUUGUAAUAAUUGCUAACAUGAAGCACUAGUGUCGCUAGCAUGUUGUAUGUUAACUCAUCUGACUCACAGCAACCCUACGAAGUGGGCACCAUCCUCACUCCUAUUUCUCAGAUGAGAAAAUUGAGGCACAGAGAAAAUAAUAACUUGUUGAAGGACACCCAACUGGUAAGUUGCAGAGACAUGAGUUGAAUCCACAGGGUUCUUCACCACUAAUCACCUGUCUCCAAAAACAGGUGAAGAUGCCGUGAUCACGGUUCCCACGUGGCAUCUGGAGGGUCCUCUCGCUUACUCAAGGACAGUGGCAGAGUGUGCCUCUGUGGGCCUUGAAAAGCUGGGAAUACAUCACCCACAGAGGAACUGACCUCACAUCUCAGAAGCCUUUAACAACCUUAAGUCCUGAACUGCCCAGAACAGAGAGAGGAACAACAGCAUCUAAAGCUGAACCAAAACAAGUGAGAAUGAACUGUGGCUGUGUGUCCUCUGCUCAGCCCCAGAUGACAUGAGGGUUUCUCAAAGCACAAGGAACUGCACAAGCAGCACCUGGGGAAAGGUGCACCGUCGCUCAGCAUUAUGGAGGUGGGCCCAGGCUGCCCAGGGCUGAGCGUGGGCCUGUGCGGUGUCCCUAAGAGAAAGCAGGGAACCCUACAGGACUACAGAAACAUAGACAGAAACUGUUCAUAACUGAUGCCUCAGUAGUAAACCUGACACACUGGGGGACUCUCUUAGCCAGAAGAAAGGGGAUUGCUUUUGCAUUUUUCUUUGAAACUAUUUGCUACAGGCGAGGAGCUGCCAUCCCCCAAAUGUCAGAGAGGGGACAGGGGUCUGCAGAGUUGCUGGAUGAAGUGACUUGGCCCUUGUAGCAGAAGGUAAAUUGGCACAGCUCCGUGAGGCCUGAGCUGCCGAGGUAACACGCAUGACUGCUCCCGACAGCAGCAUGGGCUCUGACACCGAGCCCGGGGAGGCCUGGCGGCUUGGAGAUUGGGGACUGGUGCCGAGCAUCCUGGAGUUGGACAAUUGGCCUGCUCGUGGUUGGGCCACCGUAGGCUGCUGCUAGUUCCGGCUUUUGCUGGGUACCAUUUUUCCUUUCCAGAAUCCUCUCUGUUUACAGUUCCCUUAUCUUCCCCUUCUGUUUCCAUCCUUGUUUUAUAUGAAGAAUGAGGCUACAUAUUCAAGGCUUCUCUUCCCAAAUAUCCAGUCAAUUAACUUCUUUAUUUAUUAAUUCAUCUAUUAAUCAAUCAUGAUUAAUAUCCUAUCAUUGAGUAGCCGCUGACUAUAUGCUGAGCCCUGUGCCAGGCCCUGUAUACACCGCACAGAGGUGAGUAAAACAUGGUACCUCCCCUGGAGGAGUUACUAGACUUAAUUUGGGAGGUCAAAAGCAAAAAUCAGUUUCAGUAAGAAAAUAAUUAGGCAAGGAUCCGUGAACUGCUGUAACUCUGAGAUCCAGAAGAAAGGGCUGAUUCAGUGAUCCCAGGAAGGGCAGCCCUGGUUGCCAUCCCCUAAUAUGACCACCCCCAUACUCCCCUCUGGCUUCAGAGAGGUGACAGGGGUUGAAAUGGAAGCACACUGGAGUCUGGUUCCCUGGCAUUCCUAGAGACUUCCAUCUGACACUUUUCCAGCUUUUCUAAACUACCUAAGGGCCUCAGAGAGGCAAGCUGUGGAAGGCUGGCCCAUCCAGGUCUCCUCCGCAGGGAGGAACGCAGGCAGGGGCGGUAACGGCUACCCAGGAGGACACAUUUUUUGAAGAUACAUCACUUUAGUGAGAAUACUUUUAUGAAGGAUUUGAUAUCCUUUGCUGUAAUCUUGGAACAAACCUACAAGGUGGACACAGUUAUUUCCACUCUGCACAUGGAGCAGCCUGAGGCCCUGAGGCCCAGAGAGGUUAAAUACUCCACGCCUGGUCUCACAGUGAGUUACAGACACGGCAAGUAUUUCAUCUCACGUAGCAGAGGUUCUCCAAAGACAGACAGGAGGUUCUUGUCAGCUGUUCCAUGGAUGACCGUAGAAUUGGACCACCAAGACUUGCGCAAGAUGAUUUUAAAAAGGAUUGCCAUGGAGAGAUCUCUCAUUCUCGAUGAAAGGUGAUGUAGAGUUUUUUUAAAUUUUUGGGGCUUCUGGUUUUUGUUCAUUUCUCUAAGGAGAGUGUAUGGAGAAUGAGAACUUUGCCCUACGUUCCUGGACACGGGAAAUAACUUGAGGUUGUGCCAAGCCUGCACGGCUAUAGCUGAGUGGCUGCAGCUGGGGUUAGUUUGUUAGAUUUGCCUGAUCAGUCACAGAGCAAGUACCUGAAGAAAGGACAUGUACAUUAUGAUGAGGACGGAGGAAGGGCCUUCCUGAUAGUGCACAACCCAAUGGAAGGAGCUUGUGGAAUGGGGAUCAGGGGUGUUCCUGACACCAGGUGACAGGAUGGUGCCAGAAACCUUUUGGAGUUAUAGUGUUGGCUUAGAGCUGGCCCAGGAGAAAACAGAUUACAAAGUUUAAGUCUUUGAAAGAAACUUCGAGAACAUAUAGGCCACCUCUCUUGUUUUCCAGAUGAAGAAACAGAGAGGUCAAGUGACUCGUCCACAGCUGCAGAGGUCAUUAGAGAUACAGCUGAGUCUUGGCUGCUGAUUUUUCAACUUCCUAUCACGAGCUAUUUCUAUCAUAUGGUAUUCUAGACCAGAGAUCAGCAAAUUCUUCCUGUAAAGGGCCAAAUAGUGAAUAUUUUAGACUGGGUGGGCCAUACAGCUUCUGUGGCCACUAUUCAACUCAGCUGUUUUAGCCCCAAAGAAGCCAUUGACAGUAUAUAGACAAAUGUACAUGGCUAUGUUCUAAUAAAACUUUAUUUUAAAAGGUAGGUGGCAGGCCCAAUUUGGCCCACAGGCCAUAGUUUAAUGGCUCCUGCUCUAGAUAUUUCUCUUCCUCAAACAUACCCUCCAUGGUAAGGAAAUUGUCACAGUUUAGAGGUGGUUUGAAGGAUAGCACUUCAUCUUCCAAAAUUCAGGGCAUUAGAGCACUCAAGCAAGAUUUGGUGCUAUGUCCUUAAAAAGGAGAAAAGAAGUAGGGUGCCAGUUUUGUGAACAUGAGCAAAAAGAUUGUUUGUGGCCUAGUGCAGUGGUUCAUGCCUGUAAUCCCAGCACUUUGGGAGGCCAAGGACGGUGGAUCACUUGAGGCCAGGAGUUCAACACCAGCCUGGCCAACAUGGCAAAACCUGGUCUCUAUUAAAAAUACAAAAAUUAGCCAGGUGUGGUGGUGCACACCUGUAAUUCCAGCUACCCGGGAGACUGAGACAGGACAAUUGCUUGAACCCAGGAGGUGGAGGUUGAGUGAGCCGAUAUCAUGCCACUGCACUCCAGCCUGGGCGACAGACAGACUCUGUGUCAAAAAAAAAAAAAAAAAAAAAAAAAAAAAAGGAAGGAAAGAAAGAGAGAGAGAGAGAGAUUAUUUGAGGAAAGAAAGAGUAAAGAGAGAUAACCCUCACACUUGAUACCUUAUAGCUCAAAAAGAAUCACAAACGAGGUGUGAUGUCCAAUUAUGAGGCAGGAGUAAUGCAUGUCAGCUUUCCAAUGACCUUUAGUAAGCCUCUCCUUAAUUUUAGAAGGGGUUCAGAUUAUAGUUGAUUAAAGAACUAAAAUGGAUAAAUAAUUGUUCCCCGGAACCACCCCGCUCAUCUCCUUGUGGGCAAAUAGGUUUAUAAAAACUCAGUCCACAGCUUGAAGGUGUCUGACUAUGUUACAACCCAGCCCAAGGACAAGGGGAAGAAGGAGCAUUCAGGGAGACGUGGUGAGAAUGCAAGAAGCUCGUACUCAACACAGUGGUGUGUUCAAUAGAGGGAAAAUGACCCUAAGACCCUGCAGUGAUGGACUUCUAUGAGUUUCCAAGUUUGGAACCUCAGGAUUCUUGAUGGGCUAAAUCUUCAAAACCAUGUUAAUUUUCUUUAAUGGCAUCACUUUGUCUUUAGAAUCCACAUCUUCCUGAUAGGUGAUAUCCUCUCUUCUUCAUCAGAAAAAUGACCUUCCAAACUCUUAAGACUCAAGAUUUCCUAAUGAAAAUACUCCAAAGCGGCUCCUAGUCUCAUGAAGUUUGACUCACUUGAAAAUAUCUAGCACGUACAGAGUAAUAAAUUGUAUCGCCCCUUCCAAUUCUGAAACUAAAAUCUACACAAUUCCAGCCUCUGCCAACUUCCUGUUUUCCCGUCGUGGAGCAGACUAAGAGUUCCUGGAGCCUGGAAGACACACAGCUCCCCUCAAAUCUUCCCGCCCUUGUCCCUCCAUCCGGGAGCAGGCAGGUGAGCGGUGGCCACAGCUGUAGUCUUUGGGUGUUUUGAAACUGAUUAUCGGAUUCCUUAGAUGCAACUUUUAAUGGGACACAAGUCUAGCUUUACAGAUAGGCUCAACACGAACCGUUUGAAUGACUCCUUCAGAGCUUAGGGGAAAGGGUGCUGAUGGUAACUACUAUCUGAGCAUCUAUCUGAGAAGCAUCAUGCUAAUGGUAUUGGCUAUCACUUAAAGUUUUUGACUGUCUUUACCCAAGUCAGUUAUUUCUUCAGGGGUUGCAAAAUGGUUACUUUCUUUUUUUGAGACGGAGUCUCCCGCCGUUGCCCAAGCUGGAGUGCAGGGGUGGGAUCUUAGCUCACUGCAACCUCUGCGUCCCGGAUUCAAGCGAUUCUUAUGCCUCAUGAUUAGCUGAGAUUACAAGCGGCCACCACCACGCCCGGCUAAUUUUUGUAUUCUUGGUAGAGACAAGGUUUUACCAUGUUGGCCAAGCUGGUCUCAAACUCCUGACCUCAUGAUCCACCUGCCUCUGCCUCCUAAAGAGCUGGGAUUACAAGCGUGAGCCACUGUUCCUGAACAGUACUUUAAGUUUUUAAGUCAUCUCAUGCUCAGAGGCAGCGCUCUUUCAGGCUUUCAGCCUAUGAGUCUAUGCUGCUCCUGUGAACCCCUCUGGCACUCACUUUAUCUGUUCCCUAUCUUCUCCCUUUUGGAAUGUUUUUGACUACUCUGAGAGGCAAUUAAAAAUGGUGGUGGGCUGGGGCAGUGGCUCAUACCUGUAAUCCCAGCACUUUGGGAGGCUGAGGCGGGCGGAUCACUUGAGGUCUGGAGUUCGAGACCAGCCUGGCCAACAUGGUGAAACACCAUCUCUACUAAAAAUACAAAAAUUAGCCGGGUGUGGUGGCGCGUGCCUGUAAUCCAAGCUACUCGGAAGGCUGAGACGGGAGAAUCGCUGGAACCCAGGAGGCGGAGGCUGCAGUGAGCCAAGAUGGUGUCACUGCACUCCAGCCUGAGCCACAGAGUGUCUCAAAAAACAACAACAACAACAAAAAACAAGUUGCACAAAUUCCCAUUAGGUUACUUCAACUUCAUUCUGGAUUCUGUGAAGUGAAUUUUGAAGGCUAGGAGCUGAUUCUGUUUUAUCCGAGUAGAAGGAAUAUGGAAACAUUUCUGCCUUGCCCUUCAUGUUUGAUUGAUACGUUUCACUUUGAAAGUUAAUUAUAUCUGAUGCGAAGGAAAGAAGGAAAGAUGCGAAGGAAAGAAAAAUAGAUGCUCUUUUCAUGAGUUUUCACUGUGAAAAUUCGGGUCAUCUGUUCAGUUUUCUCAUGCCUCAGUUUACUCAUCUCCCAGCUAAGGUAAUAUUCCUGGUUUUCAGAGGAGAGGAGAGGACCAGGAAUUGGAAAUCCUGCCAUUUGCAACAACGUGAGUGAACCUGGAGGACACUAUACUCAGUGAAAUAAACCAGGUACAGAAAGAAAAUACUGCACGAUCUCUUUUCUGUGCAGAAUCUAAAAGAGUCGAACUCAUAGAAACAGAGAGUAGGAGGGUGGUUAUCAAGGAACUGAGUCAUUGCAAUCCAUGGUCUCAUAGACUUAGUCCUCCAAGGUUGCUCUGUCUGACCCUUCACUCAUUUUGGGAAAGCUCUUCAGAGUGUCCCUGACCAGUGACGUUCAGCUCCGGAGUGACUCUUCCAGGGACCAGAGACGUCCAGAUUCAAGGCAACCAUUUCAUGUCCGAAUAGGUCUAAUUGUAAGAAUGUUCUUCCUCGUACUCCAACACCUUCCUGAGGUAUCUACCUGUUGGUUUAAGUUCUGCCUUUUGAAGCAAAGUAAAAACAGAUGGGAUCUUUCCCACAUUUUGUCUCUUCAGGUUUGACUUCUCUUUCAUAGGUAUAGUUGUAACUUGUUUGUGGUGCGCUGUAGAAGAGCAUUUUGACAAAAUAAAUGUGUCAUUAUAUUUGUCACAUUCAGUCCUGUUAUUAGUGAACUCCCAAUUAAACAAAGACAUGUUCUGGUGAUGUCGGGGGCCUAUUGGGUAUGCUUGCUCAAUACACAAGGCUUCUGAGACACAAGGAAUUCCAUUUCUGUACCACACAUCCCUAAGCCCUGACUGGAUGAUAACUGUUCUCUCAUCUGCCAUGUUCGCACAACUAAUGAGAUGGCUGCACUGCAAGGGUCGGACCAGGAAGAAAAGGACCUACCAGUUUUCAGGAAACUUUCAGAUGAGACACCUUGAAUACCUUUAUAAAUGGUAGUAUUUAAUCAAGAAACUACAGCACCAGCUAGGAGAGGUUUUUACCUAAGACCCUGACUUUAGGGCUGGAAGAAAUAUCAUUCAUUUAUUUGUUCAACAAAUAUUUGUUGAGUAUCUACUACGUGCCAUGAAAUGUUCUAGAUGUUUGUUCUGUAUCAGAGAGUAAACGGACAAAAAUUCCUGUACUUAUAAAUCUUACGUUCUGGAGAGGGGACUUUAAAAAUAUGCAUUACAACAUUAUAAUAAGUAAGUAAAUCACAUUGUAGGUGAAAAAGUGGCAAGUUAUUUAAAGAGAAAAAAAACAGAACAAAGUUAGCAGCAAGAAUACUGGAAGGCAGUGGUGACCGCGGUGAUUGCAAACAGGGUGUUAGGAGGGGCUUCUGGGAGAAGGUAACAGCUGGACCAAGAGACUUACUAGGAAUGACCAGGAAGGUGGCAAAACGCUAAGAGAAAGUAAAACAUAAACCUGUUAUCUUGAGUAUUUUAGAAGUCAUAGUUGAAGUGAUGGAGAGUUGCCUUUAAAAUGCUACCUGUGAUUUGGUCUUUGUAAACCAAGCUUUGUGAAAGGAGAUCUUGUCAUGGUGUGGUUAUUCAUGCCGAGAUGUCUGCUGGGCUGAGUGUGGGCGAUGCACAGAGGGGAGAGUGAUGUGCAGAGGGUAGAGCGAUGUGCAGAGGGAAGAGAGUGAUGUAAAGCCAAGAUGUGAUUUGUGCAACUCUGGAUGAUUUGAGGGGAAACCUACAGGGUCAGAGUCACAACCUAAAGGGACUGCCCAAGGCAGGAAGGAUGGGGCUGAUCCAAGAGGGCGCCUCCGCAGCACAGAAAGGGACAAAGAACCCCACCAGUGUAAUCAAAGAUAAGAAAAAGGCAGAAAAAAGAAUUCUUAGUCCUGCCUAUUUUAACUGAAGGAAUAGUUAAAAUAUACCUCACAGGCUAUAUCUCUCUGCACUGGUCUGAAAGCAGAUGAAAGCAGGGAGAUAAAUCAGGGAGACACUCCCCCCACACAUAUACACACCCUCCCCAAAUUGAGCUGAGGAGGAGGUAUUUGCAUAUUCUCUUGGUUUCUAUCACGGUUAGAAAUGUUGGAAAGGGUGUACCUAGGGCCUAACUCCUAAGGAAACUUACUGCUGAGCCAAUAGACAGAGCAUAGAUUCAAAAGCAUGCCUUGGGUCUCGAAAGGGAAAGGAUAGGGCCUUUGUCAGGAGAGACUGUCAUCUCAAGGGUUAAAGGUCUAUUGAAAAGGAGAUCAAAAAUUGGGAGCACAUAAAGGGGAUGGUCUUAUUCUUUGAGUCUUUGGGAUCAUCCUUGCAACAGAUCUCUACUGUGGACUGUGGACUGUGGACUGUGGACUGUGGACUCUGGACUGCCCUGAUGCUCCCUCCACCACAGGACAGCUUCCUUGGGCACCUAAAUGAGUUUUGUGUGCUCUAUUGUGAGGGAAAUACAGAGAUACCAGAUAGCCAGGGAGGGGGGGUGGGGCGGGGGGGAGGAACUUAGGUCCCAGGAAUUCAGGGUCUAAUGAAUGGGAUCCUCACCACCAACACACAAUGCUUCUCCAUUAGGCAACAAGGUAUUAAGGGGCCUAUGAAAUUAUUUGAGAAUUGAAACAUUUAUUGGCCCCAAAAGAAAACUAUACAAUUGAAAUUAAUACAUAUUUUAUUUGCAGAAAUGGCAUUAUGGCUAUCUCGAUUGCUAAAUUCAGUAUUAAUAAAAAUGACACUGCACUUGAAAACAAUGUAUAGGUUUUUCUGUCUUGCAGGCAAGAAUUCCUAAGUAGGCACAAGAACUGCCAGGAAACCACUGCCAAUCAUGAUUUAAAUUAUUCAUAGCCAAAAAAUUUCAAAAGCAAAAUCAUAAUUUUAAAAUUUAUUUUUAUAGCAAAAAAAAAAUACCCUCUAUAUUUAAUGCGGGAUGGAAGUAGAUUCUAAUACGUGUGAUAUCGAGUGGGGUUGGGACCUCCAAAAGUGACAGGGUCUAGGACUGAGAAGGUGUGAACAUAGUUCUAACCUAAGGUCAUAUGUUGGAUGUCAGGGGAACAGGCAUCUCUUUAAUUUGUACAGUUGGAAAGCUGAAGGUAUAUAAAGAUAAAAUAGCAGUUCUAUUAUAGGCAUUAAAGAAAAGGUCUCCAGUUCAUGCGCCAGGGUUGUGGGUUAGGUAAGCCACUUUGCUCCAGCUUUCUGGGGGCCAGCUCUGCCCAGCCUCCCACCCUCACCCCAACCUCCCUCCUCUUUCUAUAACGUGGCCUCAUUCAUUUACUUCAGUAGCUCCUUUCUGGAACAAAUUCUCACAUUGCAGUCCUUUCCAGAAUGCUACAGUAACAGAGUUCUCAAAGGCUUUGAUUGAUGGGGUUUGAAACACUCUUUCUUUUUGGAAAUAUUUAUAUUUGAUCCCUUUUGGACAGACUGCACAUAACUAGAGCUUAUCACAUUGCUGAAAAUGAUGGGCAGAGUCUGAGAGACAGGAACCCUGAGUCGGCCGAGCCCUGGGAGAGCAAAGAUUAAUAUCCAUUUGUGCUUUGCUGUCCUCAACCCUGAUAACUGUAAAUAACGUUUGGAAAAGAUCGGGGUGCAUCAUGAUCUAUUACAUGGUGGCGACGAUUCUGGUUGUUAUGUCUUCCACAGUGAUUUAUCAUUCUCUGCAGUGACACAAAUCAUGGUCCUUGCCUGCCACUCUGGAAUGUAUGAUCUGCUGACUGGAACAGUGAUGAAUUUGUGUUUAUAUCAUAACAUUUUUAACCUGAGCUUGACCUGACCUCCUGCUCCAAUUUGGGAAUGUACUAAAAAUAUAUUUUUGUAAACCUCUAUGGUUUUGCUGGCUGGUGUUAAGAUAGAAAACACUUUUCCUCUUUUGGGGGGGACUAAUGUGAAGUGGUGCAAAUAAUAAGAAGGUCAAAUUGUGGAUAAAACAUUGUCUCAAUUGUUUUCUUACCUGUAAGAGAUCGGUAUAAUCUUGCCUUGUUCCAGCAAUCGGCAUCCUCAGAGCUGUUAAGCAGAAGGCCCUGGUAGUUUCUUUUUUCAAGACCUGGAAACCAAGAAGUGUCUACUAAUCUCUCUGUGUCUUUGUUUGAAGUGUGUGUGGGCUCUUGUGGACAAGUGUCUGAGUCUGUGUGCGUUAGUUGCUCCAUGAGGGGCAGGUGAGUGAAUCCAGGCCCUUCAGGCUGCCCUUUAAGGCAAUACUUUUCUCUGAAAUAGGGUCCAGGGACUUAAGAUCUUUGAAAGCUCUACAUGAAAAUGCUAUAUAUUUUUUUCAACCACAUUUCUUUCUGCGAAGUGUGGGAGUUGCAUGAAAUACAAAAAAUAAAAAUAAAAAAAUUUAAAAUCUCAUCAUUCCUUUCUGAAAUGAUCUUUGUAUGCUAUUCAAAUUGAUUGUCUUUUUUUAUUUUUUAAAUUCAUAUGAGGAACCCAAGGAUCUGGGGUUAAGAAAUGAUAUUUGAAUUGCAACUGUUCACAUGUAAAUGGGCGACUUAGAAAGCAAAUGCAUUUUAGACCAAAAACUUUUUUUUAAGGUAUUUUGCUAGAUUCUCAGUUUAGAGACAGAAUGUGCAAUAACCUGGCAAAGCAGUGGAGAAGGGGACGUUUUUCCAAGUGUCCCACCUUGACCACAGCAUUGCCCCCUCAACUCCUCAUCGGUCAUGGGCUCUAGGCUUGGCUUGUCCAAAGCCCUCACAGUCUCCUUGGUCACUCACAGACUGUCUCCUGUUUUCAAAUGCCUAUCAGUGAGCUAAGAUGACAAAUUUGCCCGUGAUCAUGUGCUGAAGUGAUAUGGAUUUCAGCUGAAGCCUCCUGGAAUCAACUCUCGUGGCACUGCCGAAGCCUGUGGUGACUUCGAGGGUGGAAUCUCAGGUGAGCGUGGAUCCAGGGAAAAGUGGAAGCACAUUGGUAUCAGUCAGACCCCUCAUCUCAUCUGACAACGAAGAGGCAAACACUUAUGCCACCUUAUUUUUCCAAUUUUUAGAUGGAGAAUCCUGAGUCACUCUCAAAACAAUAGAAAUUUCACAAGUAUCAGACUGACACGAGUUUGCUUAUUGCAAACCCGGAGGAAGAGAAAUGACAAUGAAUUUUCAAUACAUAGCAGUACUUUGCACAGUACUUUGUCACAUAUAGUGGGUUAUUAAUACCACCCUGGAGCCUUGGCACGUACAGCUCUUCACUACAUUCUACUUUUUCAUAAACAUCUUAUCUCAUCCAGCCUCACAGAACUCCUAAUACUUUGCAGAACCAUGAAAUUCAACACUCCACCUUCACUGGAUAGUUCUUUUUCAAAGCCCAAUCUUCCUGAAACUCACUUUCUAUUACAACAACAUUAAUUGCUAUUUUAUGCACAUACACAGACUGACUUCUUCACAACUUUACUUCCUGGUAACUUACAAGUGCACUGGUUGACAGCAUCCUCAAUCAGCAGAGUCAUUUCCAUAUCCUGGACAUAUACAUUGAUCAGAAAAGAUGACAAUUUAUUUUUAGACAGACGCAGCCUGCAUAAUUUAAAUAUAUUUCCCAUUUGGCAAAAAUGGUGUUGUAGCUAAUGUAUGUACAAUAUUUCCAAAAACAUUGGUACUUUCCCAUAAAUAUCUUCCAUAUUUUUUUUCAGUGAGUAAUAAAAAAGGUUGAGGUGGGAUGUGUUUUAUCCCACCACAUUAUAUCAUUCCUAUUUUUCCUCUUUGUUGGAUGGCAAUCAGGGGCCCUGAUGCCAAGCUUUGGAAGCAACAGCAUCUGGUUCCUUGGCAGAUCCUGCAGGCAGACUUGUUGCCAGCCUCUAAGCUGUGGCUGGGUCUGUUGCAUGGUUUGGCUGCAGAUGGACUCUCUGGGUUGCCUCGUGCUUCUGGAAGCCAGUCCUGGCUUUCCUUUGAUUCUGAGGACUUUACUCAUUUUUAUUCAUUUGUGAAGAAGGGCCCAUCCAAACGCUUUAUGAAACCAACACUGGGGAACAUUAAUGGAUCAAAUUUUGCCUUUGAAAAGGCAGAGGUCAGUGUGUUUGGGGGCAGGAGGCGCAGCGUUCUGAAGAUGUGAGUGCACAUGUGGAUGCUUCCUCCCAUGAACUUCUAUUCUAAGGAGCUUGGACGGUGGCCAGUUAUGUGUUACCAUUUCUCGCUUCCCCAGGAUGAGGCUGUGUGGUUACCUGGAAAGACAGAAACACUGGAGAGCUCAGGCUUCCUCAGAUCAAUAAAACCUCCCAUUUCUUUUGUCUUUUAAGUGAAUCAGACCCUGAGGAAAUGAACAUGCACAAGGAAAUUCCGGGUGCCUUCUCCCCUGUACCAUUUCAUUGUCCCUGUGAGUAUGGGAUUACAGCAUGGCUAGAAAGAAGGGUGGACAUGAAGUCUUAAUCUACUCCAAACUGAGCAUACACAUUAAAGCCAGAUCACUCCCAUUAAUGUUCCCUGAGACUCUGGCCUCUAGGGAAGGGUUUUCCAGUUUUCUUAGAAUUAUGAAACCCCGUCACCAUUGAUUUUGUUUAUCACUUUGAUCAACUAUAAAAUUCUAUGCCACACACACACAUACACACCUAUACCUUAAUGAAAAUAUAAUUUAGUAUGUUCUAAAGAUUAUUAUCUAUUUCAUGAUAUUUCUUGAGUGCAUUUGCCCUCUUCCUGAUUCAUUUAUUAAUAGCUAUUUAUUGAAUACCUAUUACUUGUUAAACACAAAAUCCUGCUUUCAUGGGGUUUACUUUCUACUAGGGGAUACUGGGAAAAAAAAUUAUCAAAUCAGUUAACAAGAUAAUUUUAGAUAGUGAUAGUGCUAUUAGAAAACUGAAACUGCGAUUUGAUAAAGGUGUUUGUGGGGUAAGAAGAGAGCUAUUUAAGACUGGUAAUAUUUCUGGGUAUAUAUAUAAAGGAAAUAAAAUCACUAUCUUGACGAGAUAUUUGCACUCUUAUUUUCAUUGCAGCAUUAUUCACAAUGGCCAAAAUAUAGACCCAACCUAACUGUCAAUGGAUGGAUGGAGGAAGAAACGCAGUGUGUGUCUAUGUCCAUAUCCUAGACCUAUACAUUGACCAGAAAAGACGACAAUUUAUUUUUAGGCAGACACAGACUCCAUAAUUUAAAUAUAUUUCCCAUUUGGCAAAAAUGGUGUUGUAGUUAAUGUAUGUUAUGUGUGUAUGUAUGUGUAUAUAUAUACAUAUAUGUUUUUGUAUAUGUAUCUAUACAUAUAUGUAUGUGUGUAUAUAUAUACACAGAUAUACAUACACAUACACAUGUACAAUGAAAUAUUAUUCAGCCUUGAAAAAGAUGGAAAUCCUGCCAUUUGCAACAACAUGAAUGAACCUGGAGAUCAUUAUACUAAGUGAAAUAAGCCAGACACAGAAAGAUAAAUACUGCACAAUCUCUCCUCUAUGUAGAAUCUAAAGGAGUUUUACUCUUAGAAACCGAGUAGGAGGGUGAUUAGCAAGGGUUGGGGAGUGGGGUAGAUAGGGAGACAUUUGUCAAAGGGUACAAACUUGCAGUUAUAAACUGAGUAAGUCCUGGAGACCUAAAGUAUAGCAUGGCAACUAUAGGUAAUAAUAAUAUAUUACAUACUUAACACUCACUAAGGGAGCAGAUCUUAAGUAUUCUUAACACACACACACACACACACAUACACACACACACAAGGUAACUGUGUGAGGUGAUACAUUCAUUCGCUUGAUUGUGGCAAUCAUUUCACAAUGUAUGCAUAUAUCAAAAUAUCACAUUAUAUACCUUGAAUAUAUAUAUAUAUAAUUUUGAUUUGUCAGUUAUGCCUCAGUCAUGCUGGGGGUGGAGGAAGAGAUUGAUUGGGAAGGAUCACUCAAGGAAAUGACAUUAGAUCUAAGACUGAAACUACAGAAAAGAUCCAGCUAUGAUCUAGGAAGGCCUAGAAGAGGAAGUAGCCAAGGCAAAGGCAGUAUUGGGGAAUAGUCUUUGCACAUUUGAGGUGCGAAAAGACAUUAGAUAUGCCACUAGAGCUCUAGGAGAAGAGCGGUAAGGACCCUGAUGGAGAGCUCGGCAGGGGCUAGGUCACAUAGCGCUUGCUGCAUCAUUGUGGCUCACGGGAAAAGACUUGGAGUUGAUUCUAACAGCAAUGAGAAGCCAUUGGUAGUUUUAAGUAGGGGAACUACAAGAUUAAUUUAUAUGUUUAAAAAAGGUCACUUUGACUACUGGGUAGAGGAGUAAGAAUAGAAGCAGGGAACCCAUUAGAAGGUUGUUAUAAUAGAACAUAAGUUGGUUUUAGAUCAUAAUGAUGCUAUUAACAUUUAUUAAACACUUAACUAUGUGUUAGGGGACUGGGCAUGCUUUAUCUUAGGUGAUCUUCACCAUAACCUCUGACUUAGGGAUUAUCUUCCCCAUUUAAUAGGUGAAGAAACCGUAGGAUUUCAACCUGUAUAUGUCUCAUUUGGGUAGGCUUGCUGCCUCUUCAUGCUAUGCAACCAAACUGGAAUAGACAACCAUUACUUUAUUGUUUCUGUAUGCCUUCAAAUAAGAAAGAGAUGAUGAUACAAAUACAUUCAGGCCAGGCACGGUGGCUCACGCCUAUAAUUCCAGCACUUUAGGAGUCUGAGGUGAGAGGAUCACUUGAGUCCAGGAGUUUGAGGCCAGCCUGGGCAAUGUAGUGAGACCUUGUCUCUACAAAAAAUUUAAAAAAUUGUCUGAGCACAGUGGCUUGUGCCUGUGGUCCGAGCUACUCAGGAGGCUGAGGUGGGAGGAUCACUUGAGCCCAUGAGGUCAAAGCUGCAUUCAGAUAUCAAAGCCUUACAUGUCAUUUAAGUGAACAAAGUUCCUUCACAAGCUCUAUUUGGGAUUGAAAAAAAUACUAUGGCAGAUAUCUCUAAGAAAACAGGAAGAACUCAGACAACAAUCUCAGGUAAUCAAGGCUUAUAAUACCUUUUUGUGCAAUUAAGAGUGAUAAAUGAGGCCGGGCGCGGUGGCUCAUGCCUGUAAUCCCAGCACUUUGGGAGGCUGAGGUGGGCGGAUCACGAGGUAAGGAGAUAGAGACCAUCCUGGCCAACAUGGUGAAACCCUGUCUCUACCAAAAAUACAAAAAAAUUAGCCAAGCAUGGUGGUGUGCGCCUAUAGUCCCAGCUACUCAGGAGGCUGAGGCAGGAGAAUCGCUUGAACCCAAGAGGCGGAGGCUGCAGUGAGCCAAGAUAGUGCCACUGCUCUCCAGCCUGGGCAACAGGGUGAGACUCUGUCUCAGGAAAAAAAAAAAAAAAGCAAUUCUAUUUCAAAUCCCCAAAAGCUGGGUUUCCCUAGACGUGCUCACACAGGUUUUUACCUCACUCCUAAAUUCCAAUGGCUUCUUAAAUGCUCUUAUGUUUGAAAUUUACCUGUGGAACAUGGAAAAUAAUUUCUUCCCCUGAAUUUAUCAAAUGGUAGAUUUCAUACCCCUUUUACUCACCAAAGUUAUCUAUUUACUCGAGCUGUAAACUUCCAGAGAGAUUGAGAAAAUUAAGUUCUAAUAGACCCAGAUGUAGCAAAGGGUUCUUACGAAUAUUUACUCUUGUUAUUCUUGCACAUGUGACAAAAAACACAAAAGAACUAUAAGAUCCCACCACUGCCACAGAAACAUGACUAACUCAUGGGGGAAACAGGCAAUAUGGCGUUUGUCUUGUCAUCUGAGCUCUCUUAGAUUUUCAUACCCAUGGUAACCUUGGGCAGAAGAACACUGUUCUCAGAUCACAUUACUUAAUUAGCUUCAUGAACUCUUCUUUUUAAAAAAUCAUUACAAAUGUCAAGUGCCCAUUACUUUUACAUUGGUUCCCAGUUCUGAUAUCCUAUCGCUUUCUAUAGUAGCAGAAGUUUGUACUAGUAAGCUGACAUUCAACAUCAUCAAACUCCCACUCAUUAGUCUAAAUAAAUCUAAUCUAAUUAAUGUAAACUAACAUUUUUUUAUCUUUAUUGAGCAAGCAGAUACUUCCACCAUGAUGAUGUGCUUGUUUGGACUCAAUUAACCAAAUACUUUCACUCAAACAACUAGAAAUUCAUUUUAUUUUCUUUUUGGUUAAAUGUUUGACUAAAUUGGUCAUUUGUCUGAAUGUAUCCAUCGGUUUAACUGAGAAAACAGAUCUAAUUAUGUAUAUAUGCUCAAUUAUACUAUUGAAAUCACUUUCAUUUGAAG